AGCGGAAGCCGGGAAUGGGAUCCCGGUGCAAGCGAGGUACCAGCCACAUUGGAAAAACCGUGUGGCAAUGGGAAGACGUGAUGCGGAGCGAAAUAAAGUAGCGAAGUCCGUGAGCUGUGCGUCAAGAAAAGCCGCUAUUGUUCAUACCAUACCCGUACCGUAAACCGACGCAGGUGGAUGAGGAGAGAAUCCUAAGGCCGGCGGAAGAAGCAUUGUCAAGGAACUCGGCAAAAUGACCCCGUAACUUCGGGAGAAGGGGUGCCUGUGAAAACAGGCCGCAGAGAAUAGGCUCAAGCAACUGUUUAGCAAAAACACAGGUCUAUGCGAAACCGAAAGGUGAGGUAUAUGGGCUGACGCCUGCCCGGUGCUGGAAGGUUAAGAGGAGAGGUUAGCGCAAGCGAAGCUUUGAAUUUAAGCCCCAGUAAACGGCGGCCGUAACUAUAACGGUCCUAAGGUAGCGAAAUUCCUUGUCGGGUAAGUUCCGACCCGCACGAAAGGCGUAAUGAUUUGAGCGCUGUCUCGACAAUGCAUCCGGUGAAAUUGAAGUACCAGUGAAGAUGCUGGUUACCUGCGCCAGGACGGAAAGACCCCAUGGAGCUUUACUCCAGUUUGGUACUGGGAUCCGGUACUGCAUGUACAGGAUAGGUGGGAGGCUAUGAAGCGGUAACGCCAGUUGCCGCAGAGCCGCUGUUGGGAUACCACCCUUGCAGUAUUGGGUUUCUAACCAGCCGCCGUGAACCGGCGGUGGGACAAUGCCAGACGGGGAGUUUGACUGGGGCGGUCGCCUCCGAAAGGGUAUCGGAGGCGCCCAAAGGUUCCCUCAGAAUGGACGGAAACCAUUCGAAGAGUGCAAAGGCAGAAGGGAGCUUGACUGCGACACCGACGGGUGGAGCAGGUACGAAAGUAGGGCUUAGUGAUCCGGUGGUAUUAAGUGGGAAUGCCAUCGCUCAACGGAUAAAAGCUACCCUGGGAUAACAGGCUUAUCACUCCCAAGAGUUCACAUCGACGGAGUGGUUUGGCACCUCGAUGUCGGCUCAUCGCAUCCUGGGGCUGUAGUAGGUCCCAAGGGUUUGGCUGUUCGCCCAUUAAAGCGGUACGCGAGCUGGGUUCAGAACGUCGUGAGACAGUUCGGUCCCUAUCCGGCGUGGGCGUAGGAUAUCUGAGAGGAGCUGUCCUUAGUACGAGAGGACCGGGAUGGACGGACCGCUGGUGUACCGGUUAGACUGCCAAGUCUACGGCCGGGUAGCCAAGUCCGGAAGGGAUAAACGCUGAAGGCAUCUAAGCGUGAAGCCCCCCUCGAGAUGAGAUAUCCCAUCCGAAAGGAGUAAACCCCCUUGAAGACGACGAGGUUGAUAGGGCAGGGGUGGAAGCACAGUAAUGUGUGGAGCUGACUGCUACUAAUAGGGUGAGGGCUUGAUC
rnacentral:rRNA from 1 species